UACAGAGGUCUCAAGCGUUGUUCGGAUUCAUUGGGCGUAAAGGGUGCGUAGGUGGCGCCGUAAGUCGGGUGUGAAAUUUCGGAGCUUAACUCCGAAACUGCAUUCGAUACUGCGGUGCUUGAGGACUGGAGAGGAGACUGGAAUUCAUGGUGUAGCAGUGAAAUGCGUAGAGAUCGUAAGGAAGACCAGUGGCGAAGGCGGGUCUCUGGACAGUUCCUGACACUGAGGCACGAAGGCCAGGGGAGCAAACGGG
rnacentral:rRNA from 1 species